AUGAGCUGGCCCCUCCAGGCUGAAACAGGACUCUCAGCAGGAAGAGGCAGACUCUACUAGGGCCCCAAGUGACCCUUGGAGCAGAUAGGUGCUUCUUCUGAGGGAGCAUAGAGACAUUCAAGUUCCCAGGGUGCGGUGGAGUCACAGUUGCCACUUGAAACCUGAGAGGGAAACUUUUGGAAUGAGAGGCAGCCAUUCUAUUCUGUGUGCGCAUCAUCUAGACUUCAGGCUUCCACCUGGCCUUUCGAUUCUUCUGAUGUACUUGACACUGUGUAGCCCAAAGCAGCCUGGGGCAUGGCUAUGGGAGGCUCUGCUUCCUGACUGUGGGCUCAAUGGGACCAGGUGUCUCCUGCUUCUGCUACUGUGACUUCCCCACUGUGGUGGACUGUAUCCUUUAGAAGUUUCUCUUUCAGAAGGACUUCAGAACACCCACUUUUCUUGUGUGACCAGAUUUUUCCAUAAGAGCAGUCAUGGAAGAAACACACAGGUUUGUUUGUUUUGUUUUGUUUUUUAUUUUAACAUCGUUUUUUGCUCUUCUCCCGGCUCUCCUUCAAGGCUGGCGAAAUGUCUCAGUGGGUAAAGCGUCUCCCGUGCAAGCAUGAGCAUCUGACUUGGAAGCCACAGAACCCACAGAAAGACCAGGCAGUGUGGCAUGUGUGCCUGUUAUCUCAGAUGUGUGUGCAUCCCUGAGGAGAUGGGAGGAGGGAAGGAGAGUCCCUGGAAGCUCACAGGGCAGCUAGCUCAGAGUACACGGUGAUGAAGAACAAGAGACUGUCUCAAACAAGGGAGAGGGUGUGGAUCAACACUGGAGGUUUACCACAUGCUGUAUAGCAUGUACACACACACACACACACACAAACACACACACACACACACACACACACAAAAUGAAUGUCUCUCAGUAAUGAUAGUAGCACUAUAUUUACAUACCUAAGAUCAGCUACUGGUAUGACUCUUCAUGGCCAAGUGAGUAUCAUGUUUUACCUUAGCUCUAAGAUUCUCUUUCUUUGGAUGGAGGCACUGCCGUCCCUUUAGAAGAGAGAAGUUGGCGGAGUGGUAUUGUAAACUGAGGUUUGACAGAAACUCUUUCACAGUGUUGUAGCUAAAAUUUAAAUGAAAUAUGGAGGAAACAACAAUACAACUAAGAAUAAUACGGAUACUGUGACUUGUUACAAUUGCUUUUAUGUAACCAAAGAAAAGUAAAUAAUUAUAGAUCGCCUUGUUACAUAAAGAAGAACUUUUUGUAUUUCCCAAACAAACAAACAAAAAAAAAACCUUAAUUUUUCUAUUAAGUUGGAAAUGAACCAUACAUGGAAGCAUCCUCUUCAUAGAGAUUGACCAGAAUCUAGCUCAUAUUUCCACAGGGUCUAAAGCCCAAUGGUAAUAUGCUUUCUACAGGGGCCUUCGGGAGCUCACAACUUUUUAUUGGUGUUUUGCACAUAAAUUAAUUGUGACCAAAGAAAAUCCUGGUUACUAUGUAACUACCAGAGGUUGCCACCAGCAGGACUAAAUCACUCAGACCUUACAGCUGUCCUGACAGUUUGUGCAGAGACUGUGGUUCACAGCACAGAAAUGGGACUUCUUACCACAGCAGAAUCAUCACUGUAAGAUAUGAAACAUUUGCUUUUUUUUAAGUUUUAAAGAUUUAUUUCAUUUUUAUAUAUGUGUAUGUGUGUCUACAGGCACGUGUGUGCAGGGAGGUCAGAAGAGGAAGUUUGAUGCCUAGGACCUGGAGUUAUAGGUGGUUGUGAAUUGCCUAUGUGGGUCCUGGGAGCAGAACUCUGGUCCUCUGCAAGAGCAGUAUGUGCUCUUAACCAUGGAAUCAUUUCUCCUGACUUGACCCAUAAACACAUUUUUUUAGUAUAUAUACUGUGGUGACUUCAAAUUUCCCUUUCACACUCCAAUUAUCAAAAUGUUAUCCUUACCACUCCAAGAAUCUGGGACAACUACGGGGAGUAGUAAUGUACAGUUUCCUCUCUACAUAGAAAUCUGGGAGAAAGUCAGUACAGCAGGCACCAUACCCUUGUUUUCACAGGGUAUCAGUUAGCAAAACCAGCCUCUGAAGCACCCUCCACACUGUUCCCAGCCAGAACCCACAGAUCCAACAGGCAAGGCCAAACUCCUGACUCUGUGUCUUCCAAAUCUGCAGGCUUCCCUCUGGUGGAUGGCAUGACCCCUCCUCUGUCUGUCUGUGAAUUCUCCUUCCAUCAUGCAGCCCAAGACUCUCUCAUGUAUCCUUCAGCAUCCAGGCUACAUUUCUUUUCUUUUCUUUUCUUUUUUCCAUGCAAUUCCUGGCCAGUGCUGCCCCAGGACAGUGAAAUCCCUCUCCCUACCACCUCUCACUUCAUACACAUACUUCAGAUCAGUGUCAGUCUUCUCUGUUCCUAGGAGGCUUUGACUCAGUGUUUUACAUCGCGGAGUUUCCAGGACAAGACCAUCUUCUAAGUAAUCAAGUGGCUAAACAGAGAAGCAUCUUGUAAUCGCUGUAAGUAGAUACUCUGUGGACCAUUUCUCUAGUGCUGCAGUUUAAACAGGACCUCAAGCAACUGCUUCAGGCAGCCCUAACCCAGAAUGAAUGAUAGGAGAGCACUGCCCUCUAGAGGCCGCAAAGAAAAGAGGGCUUCAUGUUUGGUCUCUAAAGCUAAGUAGAUGGCAGCUUUAUCUUUCAGGAACUCAAAGGCAGGCAGGCAUGAGCUCUCCUCUGCACAGCUAGAAAUGGAGUCAUUUGUCCACAUGAGAUGUUUAGAAUCUGUGAGGAAUCUAAGACACGACUAUGGUGAUAUUUUAUUUGUAUUAAAAUGUUAUUUGUAUGUUAAUAAAUAAAGUUGCCUGGGGGUCAGAACUAUUAGCAAGCCAUAGGAAAGCAGAGCAGUGGUGGCAUACGCUUGUAAUUCCAGCACUUGGUAGGCAGAGCUGGGUAAGUCUCUGUGUGUUCAGGGAUACAGCCAUUAUUGGAUACACAUGCCUUUAAUCUUAAUACCAAUCAUGGAAAACCUGGAGGUCUAUACAGACAGGCCGUGAGGAGGCGGUCAUGUGGUUGGGUUUACAACCAAUGAGAAGGCAGGACAGGAACUCUAUAUAAAGACUUUAACACAGGGGUAGCUCUGGUUCGGAGAGGUAGGACCACCGCAGGAGGAAGGGUAAGGUUUUAGCUCUUAGCUCUGACCUCUUGGCUUUCUUCUUUGCAUUGGUUCUGUGUUUCUUAUUUAAUAAGAAGGUUGGAUACAUCUACAUUUGGCGCCCAAUGUGACAAGAAUUCAUUAAAAACCGCUUGGCUUGGCGGCAGGUCCGGUUUCCGGCCUGCUCGGCCCGGCUGCCUAGCUUGGGCCCAGGCCUGACUGACCCGCAGCUGGAGCUACUUGCAACUGCUACAAACAACUCAGGCCUGCCCUGCCAAACAGGGCCCCUGCCUGUAAAGCCAAGGCUUGA